rnacentral:misc_RNA from 1 species
UUUCCGUAGGUGAACCUGCGGAAGGAUCAUUAAUGUGUUUGGGCCUCACGGCUCUUCAUUCCGACGCUGUGCGCCUUCGGGCUGCACGCUGAGGGAGCAUAUAUCCACCCCUGUGCACACACACGGUGGCGAGCUGGGUAACGGCUCGCCGCUGAUCUUUACACACGUCUAAAAGUCAUUGUAUGUUUAUUUGAGAUAAAAACACAACUUUCAGCAACGGAUCUCUUGGCUCUCGCAUCGAUAAAGAACGCAGC